GUUUUGCUACCAUGAGAUUACGAUCAAAAUGCACCGCAGCUUCAUCUUCUUCUUCAUUGUUUUCUGCUGAUUUUGUCAUUUCGUCUCUGCAUUUCUCGAAUUUCACCUUCCAGAAGCACCACCAGUUGGCUUCUCUUCCGUCGAGUUCUAUGAUCGGCUGGCUGACCACGAUCGGCAGAUAGAACGAACGCCACUCAGUUUCUCCGACGGAAAUCCCACUCUUCGCAUCAGCUCUUUCCUUCUCUCGGAUUUCUGCAUUGCUCAGCUGUCUCUCUGAGAACGAAGACCUGGGAUAAAUUUAUCGGUAGCUAGUCUUGAUAGAUACUGGCAGGAUAAAGGUACUCUUGACAAAGCUUAUCAUGCCUUCCCUUCCAAGUUCCAAUCCAUGACUAAUUAUUUCCAACAUCUGGUGAGAUCUCUCCAUUUCUCUAUCAUUUUUGUGUCCUCUAUUAUUAUCAUAUCACUUUUUCUAUUUGUGUGAAAAUGUUUUUAUGGAAACAUAUUUUACUUUGCAAAAAAAAUUCAGAUGGAGUUCCUCACUUGAUGUUUUUCUUUUCGUGUAAGAAGAGUCUCACAACGUUCUAACCUAAAUUCAGACACUGAAAGCAACACCUCAUAUUGAUGACUUGUUAAUUUGUUCUUGGGGGGCAGUCUUGCCGUUUCAGAUAUGCUCUUUCUACUUUUGAAGAAAAAAAAAAGAGGGUUUUCUUAGACAUGCUCUUUCUACUGUGUCAAAAUAUGUCCUAACGAUUUCACUGCCUAGCUACUUGAGCCCAAACCUUUUCAAUUUGAGGCCUUCUUAGCAAAAGGGGUAAGGUGUGUAAUAGUUGAAGAAGGUGAAAGUAAAGCUUAUAAUUAUAGAAAAAUAUUGAAUUCAGUUUCUAGCUCCAAUGGCAACUACACCUUCUGAUAUUGCAUGCCAAUCUAGUUAACCUUCUUCAGCU